UAGCCAUGAUGUGGGCAAGAUUUUAGAAGAUCCUUAAAUCUUUCCUGGUAUUGAAAGAAGGUCUCUUCCUCUUUCUGAGAGAAAUUCAUGAUCACCCUCCUUAAGGUG